rnacentral:rRNA from 1 species
UAACGAAUCUUCCGCAAUGCACGAAAGUGUGACGGAGCGACGCCGCGUGUGGGACGAAGCCCUUCGGGGUGUAAACCACUGUCAGGGGCUACCAAGUUCUGAGGAGCCCCAGAGGAAGGCACGGCUAACUCUGUGCCAGCAGCCGCGGUAAGACAGAGGUGCCGAGCGUUAGGCGGAAUCACUGGGCUUAAAGCGUGUGUAGGCGGCGGGUGAAGUACCUUGUGAAAUCCCACGGCUCAACCGUGGAACUGCUGGGUAUACUGGCCCGCUUGAGCCACCUAGGGGCGAGCGGAACAAAUGGUGGAGCGGUGAAAUGCGUAGAUAUCAUUUGGAACGCCAAUGGUGAAAACAGCUCGCUGGGGGUGUGCUGACGCUGAGACACGAAAGCCAGGGGAGCGAACGGGAUUAGAUACCCCCGUAGUCC